rnacentral:rRNA from 1 species
CCUACGUGGGGCAGCAGUGAGGAAUAUUGGUCAAUGGGUGCGAGCCUGAACCAGCCAAGUAGCGUGAAGGAUGACUGCCCUACGGGUUGUAAACUUCUUUUAUAAAGGAAUAAAGUGAGGCACGUGUGCCUUUUUGUAUGUACUUUAUGAAUAAGGAUCGGCUAACUCCGUGCCAGCAGCCGCGGUAAUACGGAGGAUCCGAGCGUUAUCCGGAUUUAUUGGGUUUAAAGGGAGCGUGGAUGGGUUGUUAAGUCAGUGGUGAAAGUUUGCGGCUCAACCGUAAAAUUGCAAUUGAUACUGGCAGUCUUGAGUACAGUUGAGGUAGGCGGAAUUCGUGGUGUAGCGGUGAAAUGCUUAGAUAUCACGAAGAACUCCGAUUGCGAAGGCAGCUUACUAAACUGCCACUGACAUUGAUGCUCGAAAGUGUGGGUAUCAAACAGGAUUAGAUACCCUGGUAGUC